rnacentral:rRNA from 1 species
GAUGAACGCUAGCGGCAGGCUUAAUACAUGCAAGUCGUGGGGCAGCAUGAGUGUAGCAAUACAUUUGAUGGCGACCGGCAAACGGGUGCGGAACACGUACACAACCUUCCUUCAAGUGGGGAAUAGCCCAGGGAAACUUGGAUUAAUACCCCGUAAUAUUAUGGAGUGGCAUCACUUUAUAAUUAUAGCUCCGGCGCUUGAUGAUGGGUGUGCGCCUGAUAGGUAGUUGGCGGGGUAACGGCCCACCAAGCCUUCGAUCAGUAACUGGUGUGAGAGCACGACCAGUCACACGGGCACUGAGACACGGGCCCGACUCCUGCGGGAGGCAGCAGUAAGGAAUAUUGGUCAAUGGACGCAAGUCUGAACCAGCCAUGCCGCGUGAAGGAUGAAGGCCCUC